GCGCAGCAGUCGAGAAUUUUUCACAAUGGGGGAAACCCUGAUGGAGCGACGCCGCGUGGAGGAUGAAGGUAUUCGUAUCGUAAACUCCUGUCAAACGGGAACAAGAAAGUGAUAGUACCGUUAGAGGAAGAGACGGCUAACUCUGUGCCAGCAGCCGCGGUAAUACAGAGGUCUCAAGCGUUGUUCGGAUUCAUUGGGCGUAAAGGGUGCGCAGGCUGUGGGGUAAGUCGGAUGUGAAAUUUAGGGGCUCAACCCCUAAACUGCAUUCGAUACUGCUCCGCUAGAGGACUGUAGAGGAGAUUGGAAUUCACGGUGUAGCAGUGAAAUGCGUAGAUAUCGUGAGGAAGACCAGUGGCGAAGGCGAAUCUCUGGGCAGUUCCUGACGCUCAUGCACGAAGGCCAGGGGAGCAAACGGGAUUA
rnacentral:rRNA from 1 species